rnacentral:lncRNA from 1 species
GUAAGCUGCAGAAUGAGUAUAAGACAGCAAGGGGCAGGGGCAGAGAGACACUCAUCUACUACUGAGGUCCAGAAGACAUUACCAAGACAACCAGGUAUCAUUCAGUCAGCAUAUUCCAACUAUCAGAGUAAAGGAUGAAGAUCCAGAGUGUGUUGCUGCUGUUUUCUCUAGUGGGUGUCCUGUUAGCAAGCUCCCUCAAUGAAGAUAACUCUAAGGAAGCUCUUCCGGAGGAGGACAAUCUAAAAGGGGAAUAGGCGGCCUUGGAAAAGUUGUUUGGUGAUCUGAAAGCUGAUGGGGUUUCUCAGAAGUCUUUUGAGGAUGCAGAAGAUGAAGCAGCAUCUGAUUGAGGCGCCAUUUUGAGCACAGUCUCAGUGCUUUUGGGGUGAGGAGUGACCAGAAUGGGGCAACAGAGGUUCCUCUCCAGUCUCCAUACGGAACCCACUAUCACCUCUGACGUCAUUACUUCAUUUAAAUCAAUCCAUUAUCCAUCCAUCAACGAUUGACUAACAAAUACAAACAGUAACACAAUUGUUCAAUACUUCGGUAAUUAGAAGAACUCAUCAACAUUCUGAGGAAUAUAUGUUUUAUUCACAAAUACGCACUUGAUGUCCUGAUUCAUGAUUAGAUUAUUGGUGAAGUUAGUGGAUAAAUAAUGAGGUUUGGAAUUUAUGGUAGAAAUGUUGUAUGGCUGACGUGUCUCCUACAAUAAACUACAAAGCAUUACACAUGUUUAGCAGUGUUUCGAAUCCAUCACACGUUUCAUAAUAUUAUUUUAGUCAAUAUUUGUUACAAUGUAAACAUGACCAUAAUACAGAUGUGGGUGUUAUGAAAGUACAUUUUUGUGGCCACUGUGCAUGCAGAGCACUGAGUGGCAGCAGGCACAAUUGUCUUCAAACAUUGAAAAACAUCCAAGGGUGUUUUAAGGAUAUUUUCCCUUUUUUGACUUAAAGA